CCUACGGGAGGCAGCAGUGGGGAAUAUUGCACAAUGGGCGCAAGCCUGAUGCAGCGACGCCGCGUGAGGGAUGACGGCCUUCGGGUUGUAAACCUCUUUCAGUAGGGAAGAAGCGAAAGUGACGGUACCUGCAGAAGAAGCGCCGGCUAACUACGUGCCAGCAGCCGCGGUAAUACGUAGGGCGCAAGCGUUAUCCGGAAUUAUUGGGCGUAAAGAGCUCGUAGGCGGUUUGUCGCGUCUGCUGUGAAAGACCGGGGCUCAACUCCGGUUCUGCAGUGGGUACGGGCAGACUAGAGUGCAGUAGGGGAGACUGGAAUUCCUGGUGUAGCGGUGAAAUGCGCAGAUAUCAGGAGGAACACCGAUGGCGAAGGCAGGUCUCUGGGCUGUAACUGACGCUGAGGAGCGAAAGCAUGGGGAGCGAACAGGAUUAGAUACCCUGGUAGUCCAUGCCGUAAACGUUGGGCACUAGGUGUGGGGGACAUUCCACGUUUUCCGCGCCGUAGCUAACGCAUUAAGUGCCCCGCCUGGGGAGUACGGCCGCAAGGCUAAAACGUCAAAGGAAUUGACGG
rnacentral:rRNA from 1 species